UACGGAGGGUGCGAGCGUUGUCCGGAAUCAUUGGGCGUAAAGGGCGCGUAGGCGGGUCGUUUAGUUAGAGGUGAAAGCCCAGGGCUCAACCCUGGAAUAGCCUUUAAUACUGGCGGCCUUGAGUAUGGCAGAGGUGUGUGGAACUCCGAGUGUAGAGGUGAAAUUCGUAGAUAUUGGGAAGAACACCGGUGGCGAAGGCGGCGACCUGGUCCGAUACUGACGCUGAGGCGCGAAAGCGUGGGGAGCAAACAGG
rnacentral:rRNA from 1 species